rnacentral:rRNA from 1 species
AUUGAACGCUGGCGGCAGGCCUAACACAUGCAAGUCGAACGGUAGCACAGAGAGCUUGCUCUCGGGUGACGGGUGGCGGACGGGUGAGUAACGUCUGGGAAACUGCCCGAUGGAGGGGGAUAACUACUGGAAACGGUAGCUAAUACCGCAUAACGUCGCAAGACCAAAGUGGGGGACCUUCGGGCCUCGCACCAUCGGAUGUGCCCAGAUGGGAUUAGCUAGUAGGUGGGGUAAUGGCUCACCUAGGCGACGAUCCCUAGCUGGUCUGAGAGGAUGACCAGCCACACUGGAACUGAGACACGGUCCAGACUCCUACGGGAGGCAGCAGUGGGGAAUAUUGCACAAUGGGCGCAAGCCUGAUGCAGCCAUGCCGCGUGUAUGAAGAAGGCCUUCGGGUUGUAAAGUACUUUCAGCGGGGAGGAAGGCGGUGAAGUUAAUAACUUCACCGAUUGACGUUACCCGCAGAAGAAGCACCGGCUAACUCCGUGCCAGCCGCCGCAGUAA